rnacentral:rRNA from 1 species
UGGGGAAUUUUGGACAAUGGGGGAAACCCUGAUCCAGCCAUCCCGCGUGUGCGAUGAAGGCCUUCGGGUUGUAAAGCACUUUUGGCAGGAAAGAAACGUCAUGGGUUAAUACCCCGUGAAACUGACGGUACCUGCAGAAUAAGCACCGGCUAACUACGUGCCAGCAGCCGCGGUAAUACGUAGGGUGCAAGCGUUAAUCGGAAUUACUGGGCUUAAAGCGUGCGCAGGCGGUUCGGAAAGAAAGAUGUGAAAUCCCAGAGCUCAACUUUGGAACUGCAUUUUUAACUACCGGGCUAGAGUGUGUCAGAGGGAGGUGGAAUUCCGCGUGUAGCAGUGAAAUGCGUAGAUAUGCGGAGGAACACCGAUGGCGAAGGCAGCCUCCUGGGAUAACACUGACGCUCAUGCACGAAAGCGUGGGGAGCAAACAGG